rnacentral:lncRNA from 1 species
UUUGGUUGUACGUUGAUUGUGUUGAUCAAUUGUUGCUUUUAUAAAAAGCGGGUUGAAAACCUUUUUGGCAAAUAUUAAGGUACUAAUGCCUGAUGGGCGAGAGAUGGUGAUCAAGUUAGUGAGCCAAUCUCAGAAUAAGUUGAGUCACCACCUUGUUGCAUAUGGCCGUAGUUAUUCCCCAACCGUUGUAUGGUAUGAUCAGUGGGGACGUCGACUUACGAGUCGAUAUCGUCGUGCUCAGUGAUCCCAGAGAUCAAUGCUCACCGAACACAGAUAUCGAAUAAAAGAGUCUUACAUCCAUACAUACCGUUUGAUACAAUAAAUGACCUCUUCGGUCGAGUCUUACAUAUAUAGGGCCUUAUAGGGCAACACACCAAACUGGACCAAUAGCGGAAAUAUUGGUUGAAAGCGUGAACCCAUGCCAUCAGCCUUAUCCUACGGGCAUUAUGACUGGGAAACAUCCUAGCUCGCAUGAACGUCACAGAGUUAAUCUUCACCAUAUCCUGUCUUUCACACCCGGUCAAUGAAAUAACAAGUGGCAAGCCAAUGAGUACUUUGAAUGUACUCGCAAAACAGCCCAUGAUACGAACAAUGAAAGUGAAGGAUGACACUAUCAUGCAUCUUUAGUGUAACUCAUCUGGGUGGAAUGAUCAUGAAUAUGCAUCAAGUUAAAGAAUUACUUUUGA